ACGGUCAACGGACAGUGCCCCGGGUUCCAGCUGUGCUCUGCGAUCGCUCCUCUUAAAGGAUGCAGAACCCUGCAGUGUGCUGUGAAUCCGGCUCAAAGUCGGACCUUUCCCCAAUAAAAGGGGAGCAAGCUACACGGACAAAAAAGUUGAAGUUGACAGUGCCCGUGCCCAUUAGUCUGGAAUGCGCGGUGCUGUUCGGUGUUAACAAAGUAAAACUGUAGUUGCUGGAAAAGCUCAAGACGUCUGGCAGCAUCUGUGAAGAAACAAAAAAAAAAUCAGUUAACGUUUCGGGUCCGGUGACCCUUCCUCGGAGGAGGGCUGUAGGGCGCGUCGUCUCACCUGCCUCUCUAGGGAAAGUUUUUAAAAAAACUCUUGGUCCAAAUCAAAGAUGGCGCUUUGAUUUAGGUUAUUGGACCCAGGGAUAUUGUGAAAUCCUUCUACUGAUUGAUGUAACGAGAAACUGCAGCUUGUGACAUUGUGGGGAAGCCAGAAUGGUGUCGACGUGCUGCAGCAGUGGCAGUGAAGACUCCUGACUGCAGUAGGCCCAGAGCCUGGACUUGGUGGGUCUUUGGCUGUGGUGGUGCUGGGUGCCUGGAGCAGGGCUGCAGUAGGCUCAAAGCCUGGACUCGGGAACUUGUCGGGUUGUUGGCAGUGGGGCGGUGACACCCGGCAGAGGAUUACUGGCUGUGGUAGGCCUGCAGCAUGGAUUUGGGGGACUUUGGCUGUGGUCGAGGCAGUGCCUGGAGCUAGGAGUCCUGGCUGCGGGUCCUUGCGGAAACCUUGGAAAAGCCCUCCUACUUAUGUUUGUACACCCCUUGAUCAGAAGAUUAGCUAUAUUUAUGUAAUUUCUCUUUUAUUCCUUUUCUAAUCUGGAGGCCAGGUGCCAGCAUGAAUUGGGAUGGAAGGACUGUAAUUCAGAACAUUUUAUUCCUUUAUUUUUCUAUUUUAUUCCUAUGAUUUUUGAGCUUUUGCGAUUUAUUCCUAGGAAUCUGGACUUUAGAAUCUGUAUCUAGGUACCUUGACCUUAGUUGGUGCCUUAAGUGGCGACCUGUAAACUUUUCAUUGGACUCAUGUGAGUAUAUGUGACAAUAAAGCUAAUUCUAAUUCUC